GAGAUUUUCAAAUGUUUCAAGUAUUAUUCCCACUGCCAUUUGUACGUUAUUGAAAGUUUAUCUUUAAUUUUAGUGUUAAUAGUUGUUUACCCAUUUAUUCUUUCCAUUUAAUCGUAUUUUACUGUUUCGCUGAAGUGAAGCUUAAAUGAAAGACAAAAGCAUAGUGUUCUCAGAUAUGAUUCACCCAGUAUAUUUCCUCUGCACCUGGCUCUCUAUGAGCCGUUUCACUCCCAGGAAGGGGAGAGCAGGACGUUCUUAUCUAUACACUCCCAAAUACAAAGAGGGGCCCAUUCUUCAGAAUCACACACACACACACACUCUGAGAUCAUAAACUUCACACACACACACACACAUACUCUGAAACGCUAUAAAUAAAGAACUGCCACAAAUGCUGGUUGUGAGCCUGAGACAGCAGCGCUCACCCAGCGUGCGCACGUUGUUACCAUCUAAACUGUCUUGAGUGUCUUUAUUUCGCCUGAAGAAUGUCUUGUUUAAAUAUUUACUCCUUACAUUUAUUUGGUCCUUCGAGCCGGAUGAGGACAUUGAAUUUUAACUAAUUUUGUGCUCCAACAGAGUGACCUCGUCGUCUCCUGGAAUCGUGAACCCGCGCUGAAAGUCUGUCCGGACAGCCUGUUUCUAGUGAAACAGUAAAGACCAACUACGUGAAUUCGCCGUUGGCCAGCGUUUUUAGCAAGAGGUCCACGAUCCCAGGGAGCGAGGAGGAUUCUCUCUGACCGGCAUUUUCGUCCGAACCAGCUCAUCAUCAUCAUCACCACACAGUCAUUGUGAGUCUCCUUCAUGGUGAAGAGGAUUCCCAUGGGCCUGUUGUGGAUGUUUGCUUCUUGGUGUGAUCAGCCAUUGUUAGAGAUCAACAAACAUCAACAUCAUCCUGCACUAACAGUAGUAAAGGCUGCAGCCAUUGAACUGGUGGACAGUUCUAAGUAUUUGGUGGUUGUUCUUGAUUAGUUUCUGUCCUUUGAGUCACACUUUGAUGCUACAGUGAAAAAGGUCCAACAGUGACUGUACUUUUUAAAAGAGGUUUUAAUGUUUCAUCUGAAAUGAUCCUUUUAAAUAAAAUUUCUAUUGAAUCUG